rnacentral:rRNA from 1 species
GACGAACGCUGGCGGCGUGCCUAAUACAUGCUAGUUGAGCGAUGAAGAUUGGUGCUUGCACCAAUUUGAAGAGCAGCGAACGGGUGAGUAACGCGUGGGGAAUCUGCCUUUGAGCGGGGGACAACAUUUGGAAACGAAUGCUAAUACCGCAUAACAACUUUAAACAUAAGUUUUAAGUUUGAAAGAUGCAAUUGCAUCACUCAAAGAUGAUCCCGCGUUGUAUUAGCUAGUUGGUGAGGUAAAGGCUCACCAAGGCGAUGAUACAUAGCCGACCUGAGAGGGUGGUCGGCCACAUUGGGACUGAGACACGGCCCAAACUCCUACGGGAAGCAGCAGUAGGGAAUCUUCGGCAAUGGACGAAAGUCUGACCGAGCAACGCCGCGUGAGGGAAGAAGGUUUUCGGAUCGUAAAACUCUGUUGGUAGAGAAGAACGUUGGUGAGAGUGGAAAGCUCAUCAAGUGACGGUAACUACCCAGAAAGGGACGGCUAACUACGUG